ACCCUGAGUAGGGAGCAAUGCAAGGAGACCAGGUCCUUCAUGAAGUGUUCCUCCGAUGAGGCUGCUGUCUGGCAGAAGAUGAAAAUGACAUUUGAAUAUCGCAGUGAAAUGGUCCUUGACGAAGACAAAUCCUCAGAUGUCUUGACUGAGUUUCCACGCUAUAACAACAUCGAAGGCCAGAGUGGAACCAGCACUGAUGAACACACAGAUGCAAUCUAUAGCACCAAGCAACCGUAUUUACUUGCUGUUGGAAUCAAGAAGACCUCUAUCCACACCUUUUUUAUCAUUCUGGACAAACAGGUAAUCCCUUACAACUCAACCAGUUCUCUUGGAGCCUUUGACGAGCUUUUGUAUGUAAUUUAAGUAACUUUCUCAUGGGGGUCAUUUCUUUUGUUUGCCAGACUAGUUUUUGGAAUACAAACCAGCUUGUGAGGCAUAUCUGAAUGGUUUCUGUUCUGGAAAAUCACUAUGUUUGAAAUGUGCUCAGAAAGGAUGUUGUUGUAUUUUUGGAACAUUUUCAGACUUCAGAAAAGCUUUAAAUAUAAAACAUUCUAAGGAAAUUGAGCAGGGUGGUGACAGUGAUAUCGAAGACAUUGAUGCUGUUGAAAAAAAUGCGAGAUUUUGAGGAAGCAGCAAGUAGUUCUCAAGUUGUGCCAGUAUCCUGCAUAAGUACUUGUGAUAAGUGUGCGUCUUCUGUUGCUCAGCUUCAGGUAGCUAGUGUAGGUCAGUCUACCUUAAAUUGUUUUGUAUCAUCCAUGGAAGAAGUGGUGCUUGAGUUGCAAAAUCAAGCUAAAGAUGCCGCUUUAAAAUGUUUGUCUUCUCAGGAUGCUAGUACAAAAGCUAAAGUUGAACAGUGUUUUGAAACUCUUGCACACCCUUUUACAUCAUUGAAUUCUGAAUUAAAAAUAGUUAUUUUGCGCAGAAAUGGAAAGUCAUUAAACUGGUUGAAAAAGUACCCAGUGUUAGAUUUGAAAACUGAAGAAACAGAUGUACUGGAACUUAUGAUCAGGUUGUUGUAACCGAUAAAUUUGCCUGUGUUCCAAUUUGAGAAACUUUGUCUAUUAGUCUAUUCUCAGUAAUCCAAACCUCAGUAACAUGUUAACAUCUAGCCACACGCCCAAAUCUGUUGGGAUUAAAAAAAAGGUGUCAAAUAUUUUACAUUGAGAAAUUUUCCACCAAAGUUAAAUUCCUCUUUAGUCAAUAUACAUUUGUGUGCACUUUUUCAUUCCCAUGACAUUAAAACCUAUGGGUUUGACUCCAUACUUAAGUCAAUUGUCAAUGACCAGAAAGUGCUUGAAACUGAUGGGAUUAAAGUUCCCACAUUCAAAACACCUGUUCACAGCAGCAUUGUGCAAGUAACUGGUGAGAAUCUUGAUAUACACGGACUGUUUGGGUUAGUGGAAUCAUUCAGUGCUUGUUGUUGUUUUUGUAUCCCAGGGAAAGGUGAUUUUCAAAGUGUGUUCUGUGAGGAUGAUGAAAAUAUGAUAUUGCGUACAAAAGACAUGCAUGCAGAACAUUGCUGCACCAUAGAAACAAAUCCACAAAUACCUCGUGUGUGGUGUCAGGCAUUCAUGUUUAUUGAAUUCUUUGCAGUAUUUCCACACAGUUGAUAAUUUCUCUGUCGGUAUCAUGCAUGACAUCUUAGAAUGAGUUGCAGAGUUUGAGGUGAAAUUGGUUUUGGAGUAUUUACAGGAGAAUUUCUUAACUGCUAAAAAACUGGGUGGUUGAAUACAGUCAUUUUACUAUGGUUACAUUGAGAGGGGAAAACGCCCCCCUGGAGUUAUUUGAUGGAAGUAAUGACUUGGGCUUAAAUGCAAUUCAGUCCUGGUGUUUCCUGUGCAGCAUGCAUUGAUAUUUGGUCUGGUUCAGAGAGACGAGUGCUGUUGCUUUUGCAGAUUGUGAAUGUUGUGUUUGCACCAGUGUUACCUGAUGGUAUGAAGCACAUAAUUGUUGAGCUAGUUAAUCAGUGCAGAUUAACUGUUGGUGUAGGAGAUGGUGCUGCUUAGAGAAUUGAAAGAAGGUCCUGAGAUUGCAUCUAAACUAAAUGCUGCAUUAAUGUUCUGUCUGUGAAGUGGCUAAAGCACUAUGGCACUGAAUGUCAUCCUGGUUUAGGAGUAUGUGUUUGGGUAGUGAAUGAGGUGGCAGUAUUCUGUAAGAUAAAAACUAUUAUUGUGAAAGUUGAAAAAGUUGUGCUAACUUACUCUGAUAAAUGAAAGUUCCUUGUUAUUCGUAUUUUCAUGUACAUUGUAAAUUCAGUAGUGUUAUUGAAAUUAACACUAAAAGUCAAUUUCCAGACUAAGUCAGGGUACAUAUGGUCCUUAUAUAGAGUGUAAAAAAUACUCUAAUUGUAGAGUUAGAUUUUCAGAGUCAAAUUAAUAUCUUUCUACCUGUAUGUAAACAAAACAAAUACCAUGAUGUCCAUAUCUUAUUGUCUUUAGGUUGUGUAACAAUAACUAUUCCUUUUAACAAUCCAUAUGUAAUACAUGAAAAUAUGAGUAACAAAACAAAAAAGACUUUGAGCACAUUUCAAGCAUAGUGAUUUUCCAGAUCAGAAGCCAUGACUUCAGAUAUGCCUCAUAAGCAGGUUUGUAUUAAAAAAAACUAAUCUGGCAAACAAAUGACCCCCAUGAGAAAAGAUAAGAUAAACUUUUAUUAGUCCCACAAUGGGGGAAUAUCAUCAGUCACAGGAGCAAAGAGACAGACUCACAGAAGAUUUUAAAAAAAAAAAGACUAUACAUAGUGUGAGCAGGAUAUACAAUGUUGAACCACUGUACACAGUAUAGACAGCAUAGAGAGUGUAAGCAGAAGUGGAUUACUUCACAAUGCUGAACAUAUUGCACCUGAAAUGAAAUGAAAAAUAGAGUGACUUACAUUAUGUUGCCCAUCUCAUAUGUAAAUGUGUGCAUUAAUCACUGAAGAAGUCUGGCCCUAACCUCUAUGGCAGUGGUGUCAAACCUGUUCCACAAAGGGCCAUGUGGCUGCAGGUUUUUGUUCCAACCAAUCAAGAGCACAGAGUUUGACCAGUCGAUUAAAUGAGUCAAGUCUAGUGUGCUGCUGCUUGGUUGGAACAAAACCCUGCAGCCACAUGGCCCUUUGUGGAACAGGUUUGACACCUCUGUUGUAGUACCAAAGACAAAAUGGGCCUUAAAAAGCUCAUCAAAGACUCAGAA